UCCACGCCGCCACCCUUCAUUCAAAAAGAAAGAAACAAACGAAAGGGAAGAACAGAGAGGGGACAUGAAAACAGGGAAGAAAGAAAACAAAAGAGGAAAACGGAGAUUAGAGGGAGAAGAGGGGGGAAGGAAGUCGUCGCGCCUAUCCACUUGUCGCCGUCGUCCGAGGAGCUUCCAUGGACGCUGCUGUCGAGCUCGUAGGUGAGAAAAAGAGAGUUCACGUGGGACGGAGGAACGUGUUGCACCGCCGUUCAUCGCUGCUCAGCCACCACCGCACCUUAUUGACGUCGUCAGAGCCACCCAGUAGCCGUCGCGAGUUGCCCAGUAGCCGCCGUCGUCUUCACGACCCGUCGCUGUCGCCAGGGUCGUGCCACCGUCAUGUCUCAUCGGCGUUGAAGGAGUCAUCAUCGAAUGGAGCAGGGAGAGAGAAAGAGCUGCGAAAGAGAGAAAAGGAGGUGGCGGAGACCUUUGCCGCCGCUGCUCCCGUCACUGUUGCCGUAGGAGGAGCUCGCCGUCACUGGAGGGGCCAGCGUCGCGUUCUUGCUGCUUUGAGCCACCAGCGCCACUGCUGUUGCUCCAAAAUUCUACUUCUGUUUCUUAGGAUUUGCUAUCUCAGCCCCCUUGAAGUUACCGUCGGUUCUGUCCUUGCGAGUGAGGGUCACCAGAGCUGCUGCAAUUCCAGUCUUUUGUUUCUCUGCUAAGGUUAUUCUGUUGCGCCUUGUCUCGCUAUAAUGUUUCAUUAAUUAACUCUGUCCUACUUUACAUAAAUGUUCUUUUGUAUCCUUACUCAGCCUUAAACCAUAAUAGAUUAUUAGAUUUACCGUUGUUACCGUUUUGUAGCUACCUCGCGGUGUUUUUCCAUCGUUGUUGUUGCUGGAAGAGGCAGUCGAAGUGGCUGCCAUGAAUUAAAAUGAAAGGGAGUUGUUACAAUAGGUUUAUGCGAACUCGGCUAAUCGAGAGUUGUUGUGGUUGCUGCGUACGGUUUGGAAUUGAGGCUGCAGCUGCCACUGAUUGCGGACCGAAAAGAAAGGGUUUCUUGAUGCAUUUAGUUUGAGUUUUGAUUAUUCGAGCUUUACCUUUUCAGGAAACCGGAUGAAGACGCAUUAAGAAGAGUUAAACUGGCGUUUGGUUUAUAUGUUGUUGUAUUAAUUAGAUUAUUUUCUUCCCUCGUCUUUGUUAUUACAAGUUUUUAUAAGAGGGAUAGGAGUUGUAUGUUUUAUAUGUAUAUUAUAUUAUAAGAUAUUAUGUACGGAGUCUUGUAUAUGAAUCUGUGCCGCUUGUAUUUUUGUUAAGAUAAAGUAUUUAUUUCCGAUUUUAAAAGAAAUUAGCGAUACGGUGUCGAGUCAUAGGCUCCUAUUUUAAUAUUAAGUAGAUAAAGUAGUCGUAAUACUUCUUGCUAUCAGAGUGGCGUAGCCGGAAGCGUGACAUUU